AGAUGUGUUUAUUUUGGAGCCUACACCAGCGCCUUUUUUGUUUGCUCUUUCCGGCAAUUCCCCAGUGAGGAAGCCCCUGGAGGAAAGUCUUUCGCUACCGUCGGCACUGGAGGGGUGAGAGCUGUAAAAGGGAGAAUUGGGAACGGCAUGGGGUUGGCCACUCCAGCACUUGAGCAGCUUUCUUCUGCGUUAGGAAGCCUGGGGAGAGGGGAACUGGCUAAAGGGCAAAAUGUCACUGAGGAACUUCGGAGAAGAUGGGGACAAGGCGUCGGGCGGGGGAGCCAGCGCUCAGGAGCCCAGGCACCAUACUGUCUUUUCGAGGUAGGAGUCGACUCCUGUGAGGUAUGGUGCUGGGUGCAGAUGCAGUGUGGCUCUGGAUAGCACCUUAUGGACAGUUGUGUCCCCAAGGAAGGAUGAGAAUAGCUACUGAAGUCCUAAAGAGCAAGCCUAACUCAAGCCAUUGGCACACAGGCAUUAGACAGAAAGCUGGAAGUUGAAAUGGUGGAGUCCAACUUGCCUGGACCAGCUUAAUGGUUCUGCUCCUGGUAACGUUUUUAUCCAUGGAUGACUUGCUUGGGUAUGGAGAGUCGGCUUGACUACACUGUGUGGAGCAAGUUUUAAAGAAGCAAAGGACUCAGAAUUCAUGAUUGAAGAAAUGCAGGCAGACCUGUUAUCCUAAACUAGGGUUUUUAAUGACCACAACAAGCAAGCAUGCAGCUUACUGCUUGAAAGGGUCUUGCCUCACCCAAGCUAGAGUGCAGUGGCCUUUGAAGCUUACUACAGCCUCAAACUUCUGGGCUCAAGUGAUCCUCAGCCUCCCAGUGGUCUUUGUAGACUGCCUGAUGGAGUCUCAUGGCACAAGAAGAUUAAAACAGUGUCUCCAAUUUUAAUAAAUUUUUGCAAUCCA